CUUCCGCUUUUGAUGAUGUAUCGUGCUCAGGCGAUUCGUCGAUUCGUCGUUUGUGGCAGCCCUAGUGGUAGGACGGCCCAGUCCGUCUCCAGUCAUGCUGUUUGUGUGUAUUGGACCAGGUGAAUAGUGUUGGAGCAGUUAUCCUAUGGCACCUUGCUUACUGGGCGGUGCCGUGCCAAGCUAUAUCUGGGAGAGGGCUGCGUAUCUCCCAUAUGCAUCCUCCUACCUCUUCCUGGAGCCUGAGUGUUGUAUCGGCAGUGUGGUUUGUCGUGGCUGUGUUGGAUCCACGUGGGUGUCUUGAGACGCUGGCUGCCGAGCAUCCUCCGUUCACUUCUGUCAGAGUCGGCCUGUAUCCUGGCCGAAGGCUGGGAGUUGGGCGUGGGUGGCCUCGGAGCCAUGCACAAUAAUCCAUGCGCUGCGUUGGAUUCCUGAGUUAUCAAGCUGCAUUCUUCCGCGGCUGCCUCCCCUGUUGCCUGAGAAGCUGCGCCUUCACUUCCUGGCGGCUCCACCUCUGAAGCGGGCCGCUGCGCUACUGCUGUUCUGUCUGUGGGUUCACCGCGGCAAGCACUCCGCUUGUCUGCAAUUGUUUUACUAUUAUUGGUCUUUUUCAACCCUUGCGUGUGCCUGUUGCCUGGUACGUCUGGAGUAAAUUCCUCUGGACGAGAUUUGAGUGAAGGUUGCACUGCAUGCGAUGCUGUCUCUGUAAAGGAAAUUAAGGCAGUGUAGGAUUUAAAGCUGCAUCAGGCAGACUGAUCCUCAUCAGCUAACCUAUUAAUAUUUAGUUAAUUAUUGUUCUUUUUUGUAUUAUCAUUAGUGGUGGGAUGUGAUUAAAAAAAUUAAUCUAAUUAAUUACAGGCUUUGUAAUUAAUUAAUAGCAAUAUUUGAUACAAUAAGUGAAGUUUUUCAGUUCAAAUAAAAUUGUGGUUGACAGUUGAAUCAAUGAAUAGACAUAUACGUGUUUAUAAUUUAAAAUUUAUUUUAAAAAAGGAAAAUGGAACAUAUAGAAAAAAAGUGAUUUUGAUGACUUAAAGCCUGAAUUUAGUUGUUUUUCCACUGUAUGGCACAUAAAAUCAGCAUAAGUAGUUCAAGGAGCUUCAGAAAGUUGAAAAUCCAGAGAUUCAUUCUGUUUUCAUCUUUUCUGGGUCUGAUAAAUGGUGUAAUUUUGAUGGUUCUUUUUAUAGGAAUAUCAAUUUGUAAUUUUUUUAUUAGUUAUUAAAAGAGAUAUUUUUGUUGUUCAGGUUAUUCCUCCUCCAAGGAGGCAGAGCGUCGACGGAGUAAAAACUUAAAUCACAAAAAUGUUUCAUAUAUUUGGAUGAUGUUCAUUUUGUCAUUGACUAUCAUAUGAUAACGUUAUUUCUUUUACACCGACAAAUCAAAGAUGAGAUGGUUUUACCUUAGCUGACAUGUUUCAACUGCAGUUGCAGUUGCAACAUGAAGAAGAAAUAAACCGUGUUCAAUGAACACGGUUUAUUUGAUAGAAAUUAAAUGUUAAUACAUUUUACAGCACAUAGUAUUGAGGUGGCAAUAAUACGGCAGCAAAGUGGAAAGCAUGAAAAAAUUAUGUUCUUUCCAGUGACAUUGCUACAAAACACUAAUAGAAAAAACAUAAUUGCAGUUUCCUCUUUGCUGCUGUGCUACUGCCAUUUCUCUCCAUUCAGCACUAAUAUCUACUGACAUUUGAUCUAAACUGGCUAUGAUCAUUCCUUCAAUGUCCCUGAACACGAAUGAACAAUGAACAUGAAGAAGAAAUAAACCGGACCAUUUCAUUUUUGGACUUAAACAUACACCACAGAGAAGACGGCAGCAUUAAGAUCACAGUAUACAGGAAACCUACACAUACAGACCAGUACCUCCUCUGGACAUCAGAACAUCCCACAGCUCACAAACUAUCAGUAGUUAGAACACUUUAUGAAUGGACCAGCAGCAUAACAGACGAUAAAGACAGACAGGAGGAGGAAAAACACCUCAAGAAUGCACUCAUACACUGCCAAUACCUGAUAUGAGCCAUAAACAAGGGAAAACAACAAGCUAAAAACAAAGUAAAAAAACAAAAGGAAACACAAACAAAACUCACACAAUAACCGGACAAUAAAAACAGACAUAAUCACCAUCCCAUAUAUCCGUGGGAUAACAGAUACAGCGCAUAAUGAAAAAACACAACUUUAGGUUCAUUACCGCCACCUACUGGGCUGGAGUGUUCAUCAGAGUUACCUGUGUGCCAGAAAUGAGGGAACUGAGGAGGGUGCAAUUAAUCGCGUUAUUUUUAACGCGAUAUUUUCGCGGUAAUUAAUUAGUCGACAUUAACGCAUUAAAGUCCCAGCCCUAAUUAUAAUUAGAUAUUAUUAUUAUUGGAUAUUGUGUUUGUUUACAGAUUUUGGGAUCAUUUAUUGUCAUUUUAUUAUUUAUUGUCAUUUUCUAGCAAUCUUGUGUUUAGUUAUUUAGUUAUUUUUUUGGUUUUGUAGAUUUUCUUUUUUUUUCUGGUUUGUUGGGUUGACUGGGUGAGUAUGUGUAAGUGGCAUAUGAAAGCAUAAUCAACCUUGGUGGUGACCUCCUGGGCCCCGCAUAGUGUGGUAUCGAGGCAGUUUUGUUUAGAGAUCUAUAUGUAUAUAUAUAUAUAUAUUUUUUUUUUUUUUUUCUCCCUUUGCUGUUUUUGCGUCUUCUCUCUGGACAGGAGCUGUUGGGCCAGUGCAGCGAGUGGCUGACUGGUCCCCUACGGUGGUGGUCCCUUCACUCUGUACAGUAGUGCACUGGGCGUCCGUCAAUGGUGUGUUUUGUUUCUUCACGUAUGGUGUCUCGCAUCAGGACCCUUCCCCUCCCCCUUUAGUUAGUCAUCGCGGCCUGGUGUCUCAUGUUCACUGUGACGAUCUUCUGAGUGAAGCCAAUAGAAGGAAAACUUCAUCUAGUUGUGAAGAAGGAGACUGAAUGGACGACAUCCUCAGUGAACCACUUCCUGUUUAACUUUCACUUACAGAAGGACAGACCAACUCUUUCAGCUGUUUAUUAUUCUCUGUUUUUAGUAUUCACAGGUUCCAUUU